CCUACGGGAGACAGCAGUGAGGAAUAUUGGUCAAUGGCCGGAAGGCUGAACCAGCCAAGCCGCGUGAAGGACGAAGGUGCCAAGCAUUGUAAACUUCUUUUGUCAAGGGACAAAAUCAGGCUCGAGAGCCUGACCGAGGGUACUUGAAGAAAAAGCAUCGGCUAACUCCGUGGCAGCAGCCGCGGUAAUCCGGAGGAUGCGAGCGUUAUCCGGAUUUAUUGGGUUUAAAGGGUGCGUAGGCGGACUGUUAAGUCAGCGGUAAAAGCCCGGUGCUCAACCCCGGCGAGCCGUUGAAACUGGCUGUCUUGAGAUGUCGAGAGGUAUGCGGAAUGCGCAGUGUAGCGGUGAAAUGCUUAGAUAUUGCGCAGAACUCCGAUUGCGAAGGCAGCAUACCGGCGGCGAUCUGACGCUGAGGCACGAAAGCGUGGGUAUCGAACAGGAUUAGAUACCCCAGUAGUC
rnacentral:rRNA from 1 species